AUUGAACGCUGGCGGCAGGCCUAACACAUGCAAGUCGAACGGUAACAGGAAGCAGCUUGCUGCUUUGCUGACGAGUGGCGGACGGGUGAGUAAUGUCUGGGAAACUGCCUGAUGGAGGGGGAUAACUACUGGAAACGGUAGCUAAUACCGCAUAACGUCGCAAGACCAAAGAGGGGGACCUUCGGGCCUCUUGCCAUCGGAUGUGCCCAGAUGGGAUUAGCUUGUUGGUGGGGUAACGGCUCACCAAGGCGACGAUCCCUAGCUGGUCUGAGAGGAUGACCAGCCACACUGGAACGGGGACACGGUCCAGACUCCUACGGGAGGCAGCAGUGGGGAAUAUUGCACAAUGGGCGCAAGCCUGAUGCAGCCAUGCCGCGUGUAUGAAGAAGGCCUUCGGGUUGUAAAGUACUUUCAGCGGGGAGGAAGGGAGUAAAGUUAAUACCUUUACUCAUUGACGUUACCCGCAGAAGAAGCACCGGCUAACUCCGUG
rnacentral:rRNA from 1 species